GAUGAACGCUGGCGGCGUGCCUAAUACAUGCAAGUCGAGCGAACAGACGAGGAGCUUGCUCCUCUGACGUUAGCGGCGGACGGGUGAGUAACACGUGGAUAACCUUCCUAUAAGACUGGGAUAACUUCGGGAAACCGGAGCUAAUACCGGAUAAUAUAUUGAACCGCAUGGUUCAAUAGUGAAAGACGGUUUUGCUGUCACUUAUAGAUGGAUCCGCGCCGCAUUAGCUAGUUGGUAAGGUAACGGCUUACCAAGGCAACGAUGCGUAGCCGACCUGAGAGGGUGAUCGGCCACACUGGAACUGAGACACGGUCCAGACUCCUACGGGAGGCAGCAGUAGGGAAUCUUCCGCAAUGGGCGAAAGCUUGACGGAGCAACGCCGCGUGAGUGAUGAAGGUCUUCGGAUCGUAAAACUCUGUUAUUAGGGAAGAACAAAUGUGUAAGUAACUAUGCACGUCUUGACGGUACCUAAUCAGAAAGCCACGGCUAACUACGUG
rnacentral:rRNA from 1 species